rnacentral:misc_RNA from 1 species
AGCAGCCGCGGUAAUUCCAGCUCCAAUAGCGUAUAUUAAAGUUGUUGCAGUUAAAAAGCUCGUAGUUGAACUUCGGGGUUUACUCAUUGGUCAGGCUUAAUUGUCUGUACUGGUGAGAUGAAUCUCUACCUUCUGAGGAACUUUCAUGCCAUUUAUUUGGUGUGAUUGGAAAUCAGGACUGUUACUUUGAAAAAUUAGAGUGUUUAAAGCAGGCUAACGUCUGAAUACAUUAGCAUGGAAUAAUGAAAUAGGACGGAUUGAUUCUAUUUCGUUGGUUUCUAGGGUCACCGUAAUGAUUAAUAGGGAUAGUUGGGGGCAUUAGUAUUCAAUUGUCAGAGGUGAAAUUCUUGGAUUUAUUGAAGACUAACUACUGCGAAAGCAUUUGCCAAGGAUGUUUUCAUUAAUCAAGAACGAAAGUUAGGGGAUCGAAGACGAUCAGAUACCGUCGUAGUCUUAAACCAUAAACCUAUGCCGACUAGGGAUCGGACGAUGUUAAUUUUAAUGACUCGUUCGGCGCCUU